rnacentral:rRNA from 1 species
CCUACGGGAGGCAGCAGUAGGGAAUCUUCCACAAUGGACGAAAGUCUGAUGGAGCAACGCCGCGUGAGCGAUGAAGGCCUUCGGGUCGUAAAGCUCUGUUGUUAGGGAAGAACAAGUACCGGAGGUAACUGCCGGUACCUUGACGGUACCUAACCAGAAAGCCACGGCUAACUACGUGCCAGCAGCCGCGGUAAUACGUAGGUGGCAAGCGUUGUCCGGAAUUAUUGGGCGUAAAGCGCGCGCAGGCGGUCCUUUAAGUCUGAUGUGAAAGCCCACGGCUCAACCCGUGGAGGGUCAUUGGAAACUGGGGGACUUGAGUGCAGAAGAGGAAAGCGGAAUUCCACGUGUAGCGGUGAAAUGCGUAGAGAUGUGGAGGAACACCAGUGGCGAAGGCGGCUUUCUGGUCUGUAACUGACGCUGAGGCGCGAAAGCGUGGGGAGCAAACAGGAUUAGAUACCCUGGUAGUCCACGCCGUAAACGAUGAGUGCUAAGUGUUAGGGGGUUUCCGCCCCUUAGUGCUGCAGCUAACGCAUUAAGCACUCCGCCUGGGGAGUACGGCCGCAAGGCUGAAACUCAAAGGAAUUGACGGGGGCCCGCACAAGCGGUGGAGCAUGGUGGUUUAAUUCGAAGCAACGCGAAGAACCUUAC